rnacentral:tRNA from 5 species
GCUAGUGUGGCUCAACGGUAGAGCAGCUGACUUGUAAUCAGCAGGUUGGGGGUUCGAUUCCCUUCACUAGCUCCA